GCACCCAUCGUCUAGAGGUUUUUGACAUCUCUCUUUCAAGGAGGCAGCGGAGAUUCAAAUUCUUCUAGGGUA
rnacentral:tRNA from 1 species